rnacentral:lncRNA from 1 species
GGACAUUUUCAUUAGAUGGUGGUAUAUGUCCAGAAAUGGCAGUAUCUAAAGCCAAAAGGCAUUAAUAAUACUUGUAAGUAAUUUUUACAAAGUAGUCUCCACUUAGAAUGAAUUUUUUUCCCCCAGAGUAUCCCUGGGUACAGCAGCGAUGGGGAGCACCAGGCAUCAUACUCAAUAGGCCAAGGUCUGGAGAAGAGAUAGCUUGCCUUGUUCAUCUGCAGGAGCUUGGAAUUCAUGAUUGACUGCCCCUGAAAUAACUUGCAGGGAGCCUGAGACUGUACAUUCAACCAUUUAUUAGUGGCCUGAAACACAAGCGCAACUUUGUUUAAACUCUGGACUGAUGUUACAUUGGGGAGGAAGGGCUGGUGCGGAUUUGUGGACAUAUUUUUAUUUUGCUUUUGGUAUUCUCUUCGCCACUUCACCAUCCAGCUUCCUUCCUCCAGUCCGGGCUCUGCUGCUGAACAGGAGCCUUUGAAAACAAACAAGCAAACAAACAAAAACCCCGCAAACAAUGGAAACCAACAGGAGAUUACAGAAGGUAGAGAGGUGCUCCACUCAAGGAGGUUCUGGGUCACUUGUUGUUGCUGUGCGACCUCAAACUCCAAGGCAGCAACACCCUGGGCUGCAGAGACACUGCUCUGACAGCGUCUCUCUGCUGUGAAGGCCAGCUCUACCAGCCUAGUACCACCAAGAGGGAAACAGCCUGGCAACUCUCAGGUGAGUCUGGGACCGUCCUGACAGUUUGUCCGGGAAAUUCAGGACUGGCUGCCCUGGGUGGUCCCUGGGCUAUUGGUCUAACCUAGCCUUGAGGGUAGAGAGACCCAUGAGGGCUCCUGGAUCCUAGACUUCAAGGCCUGUUGGUUGGAGAGGGGUGGGGAGGGGAGAAGGAGCAGAAAGGAAGGAAAGGGGAGGGAAGGGACAAAAUGGGAGGGGAGAAGGAAGGGGAAGAGGAGGACUGAGGAGGAGUGGGGAGAGGGGAGGAGGUGUGAGGAGGAAGGGAAGGAAAGGGGAGGGGGGAGGAGGAAGGGAAGGGGGAAAGGGGAGGGAGCAGGUCUGAAUUGACGUACAGUCCAGCACAAAUAGCUUUGACUUUUCUGCUCCCUUGUCCAGGGCCUGGCUUAGAAUUAGGAGAAUGGAACAGAAGUGGCCUGGACAUCGGUCCCAGCGGUGGCUUUGAAGGCUCCACAAGGAUGAAUCAGACACUGCAGCUGUGUCAGAAGCAGGAACACUGAUGGGGAUGCCCAGAAGUCUGAGGUUCCUGGGCACGGCAGUAAGUUACAGAAGAACUUUAUCAGGAGCCUUAGAAACCGAGUUGUGUGUUCA